ACCAGCAUAGUUUAGUGGUUUGAACAUUGGACUAUGCAACCAGGGUUCUUGCAACCAGGGUUCAAAUCCCUGCUUGGCC